UACGUAGGGGGCAAGCGUUGUCCGGAUUUACUGGGCGUAAAGGGCGUGCAGGCGGUUUGUUAAGUGCAGGGUGAAAGCCCCCGGCUCAACUGGGGAGGGUCAUUCGAUACUGAUCGACUCGAAGGCAGGAGAGGGUAGUGGAAUUCCCGGUGUAGUGGUGAAAUGCGUAGAUAUCGGGAGGAACACCAGUGGCGAAGGCGACUACCUGGCCUGUUCUUGACGCUGAGGCGCGAAAGCUAGGGGAGCAAACGGG
rnacentral:rRNA from 1 species